rnacentral:rRNA from 1 species
UACGUAGGGUGCAAGCGUUGUCCGGAAUUAUUGGGCGUAAAGAGCUCGUAGGCGGUCUGUCGCGUCUGCUGUGAAAACCUGGGGCUUAACCCCGGGCCUGCAGUGGGUACGGGCAGACUAGAGUGCGGUAGGGGAGACUGGAAUUCCUGGUGUAGCGGUGAAAUGCGCAGAUAUCAGGAGGAACACCGGUGGCGAAGGCGGUUCUCUGGGCCUGUACUGACGCUGAGGAGCGAAAGCGUGGGGAGCGAACAGG